ACAGAGCAAGGUAGCUUUUCAAAAUUUAUUUCAAUAAUUAAACAAGUUAAACUCAGUUUAUCUUUAAAACGUAUCCUUUGAACACUGACGUGAAUACAAUGAGAAAGAGCUGGACACCCUUGCACUCAAGACGAAAAGCCCCCCCCCCCAAAAAAAAACAAAAAACGAAAACAAAACAUAUUCUAACAUUAAAGCACUUGCGGUUGCAUUUGUAUUGAAAUAUACUGAAUAAAGUGCACUCUCAUACAAACAAAACAAUGUGCUGAAGCAACAGAUUUCACACCAGUUCAGUUGAAAUUUGCAUAUGUGGAAAUAAAAAGUCUAAUUGCAGAGUAGGCACUCAAAGUAAAAACACAUGCC